GUACAUAAUGUUACUACCACUGGGGUUUGUUCCAAAAUCACAAUGCAGUGCAAACCUGUAACAUUAGCAGAGCUGAGCUCCUGGGGUCAUUUGUCAUGCAGGGUAACGUUACCCACUGGGUCUUAAAAUAAUUUAAAAACUCAUUGAAUUUAAUAUUCUCAAAAUAAGGCUCUUACAUAUAUUUACAAAGGUCUUCAUUUUUUUGUUGUCCUUUUCAUAUGAUUAUAUAGAUACAGGUAAUGUUACACAUAACUGUCAAAUGUAUAAAAUGUUUUGUGUGUUUUGACUACUUUUUACAUUUUGUCUGACUUCUGGUCAGCUCUGCUGUACUAGUAACUUCACCACUGAUCUGCAUACGGUGCUCUUUCAUCCUUAUUUUAGCAACUUUCACAGAUAACAUUCUGUUAAUAGUAUUUACUGUUCAAUCUUGGAAUAUACUUUCAAUGAUUUUCUCAAACACAGUGGCCAAACAGAUUAAUUGGAAAGGAGUAAAGGGAAAAGAAAUAUUUUAAAGAAAUGCUGACAAGAACUCCGUUGAUCAGUAAGUAUUUUAGUAUACGUAUUAUAUGUGGAGGUGACUAGUAGAUGAGAACGAAUGUUUAUGUAAAAUAAAAUAUUUAAAUAGUAUAUUUUAAGAUAUAAGGGAUGCAACUUAAAAGCCAAAAAAUAAAAAUAAAAAAAAUACUUUGAUAGCGGUGCUGAAAUAGACAUGACAGCACUGGUUACUACCAUAAUCACUUCCUCUUUGUAGGUUUGCUAGCAAAAUAAAAGCAUGAGAACAACAAGCAUGAGCUUGUUUGCUGUAAUGUUUUACUUGGAGUUGAAUUGAGAGCUUUUACUUUUCUGAAUGACAUUGACAUGUCUGAAUGACAUUAAAAAGAGUCUGUAGUCUGCUUGACACACCUCUGAAAGAGCUGUCAGUAAAACGAUUCCCCUAAAUGUCCUCUGCCUGGAGAUACUGGGGAAAUGUUGGUACCCGCCAAUGCCUAUCCAUGACCUGAUACAGAAUCCACACAGAUAAAUUUGUAAUGAUAAGAUGCACUGAGAUUUAAGGCAGAUCCAAUACAAUCCAGAUGUGAUUUGAUAAUUGUUCCGUUCAUAAUCAGUAUGAUUUUUUUAUAAUUAGUUAUUCAUGAAUGAAAUUCUAUUUGUUUUGAGUUACUAAAUUAAAUGCUAUAGAAAAUUAGGUCUACUGCCACACCAACAAUAGUAAACAUGGACAUUGAGCACUUUUUUCAACCCUCUAAAGCAUUUCUCAUUGGUUAUUAGCUUGGCUUAGAGGUAAUUUUCAGAAUGUCUGUUAAUGACAGCUCAUCAACCAAUUGACUUUCUCUCUUAACAGAGGCUCAACGGAAGAACCAAGCUGCUAGCAGCGCAUCGGACAACGAGAUUAACCCGCACGCCAUCCGCUGGUUCAACCUGGCCUCUGACUCUGGAGGUGGCCGCAACAAACGUGCCAUGGCCAGAGAGGCAUUAACCGUGUAGGCUGUGUGCCUGUGGAUUGAAGACCCGCCUACUUCCUGGUUUCUGGGGUGCUGACAUCAGUCCCGACCAUUGGUUCCCUCUGUUUCCACUCAACCAAUGGCUCGUCACCACGUUAAUUACGUCCGGCUCAUAAGGAGAGUCCACCUGUUGCUCCAGGCAGCUUGUCACCGCCUAUUGACUUGUGUGCCGCUGGUAUUGACUGCAUACCCUGCCUAAAUGAACACAUCUGCCAUCCCCCACUCUUCCACUACUGAUGAUUUGUUGGGUGUCGUGAGGGUUAUGGCAGUCCCACUUCUCCACUUGUCUCAUCAAUGUUUCCCGUAAAGCCACCAAACAAUGUGUAUGAACAUUUUACAGUUUUUUUUUUCUGGGUUUCACAUGACUAGUUGGAGUUGGAUAUUGUAUUUUGGCUAUAAAAUCUUUUUCUGUUUCUUAUACCAAUCUGUUAUUUAUACCAUGGUCAUGGAAAAUGGUUAAAAUCUAAAUGGCUGGCAGUAAUCAUCUAUCAAGACAAACUUAGCGCUUGUCGCUAAUUAAAACGUUAUCUUGUGUGUUUAGGCCGUAGAAUCUCGUGUGUCUCCUGGCUUUAGCUUUAUAUGUAGAGUAUGAUAUCAUGAGUGUGGUAUAUAUCUUCUCAUCGCUCUCAGGGAGAAAGAAAUCUUACUUUCUUACCAUCAUCAUUACUAAUGGUACACUACACUAUGCAAGACUGAUAGCAAUGUCAAUAUAUUGAGCUUUUUAACUAAGCCACACUGUUGCUAUUAUUAGAGUUUAAUACUUCUGCAUUCAUAUAAAAAUAACACCUGAGUCAUAGGUUUGUGGUUACUGUACAGUUACUAGAAACUAAUUGUCAACUGGAGUGAAGUUUCUUGUUCCUGCAGUUGUUAAAGACAGAAAUGAGCUGUAAAAUGUGUUUAUUAGAUUGAAUGUUAGUUUGGCAAUUAUCUACUUUGUUUUACGUUUCUGUCCUCAAACAUUUCAAAUAAAAUUUAAAAUGUGUCACUCA